CGGAGCGACGCCGCGUGAUGGAUGAAGGCCUUCGGGUUGUAAACAUCUGUCGUAGGGGAGGAAAUUUUGACCGAUCCUAGGAGGAAGCACAGGCUAAGUUCGUGCCAGCAGCCGCGGUAAUACGAACUGUGCGAACGUUAUUCGGAAUCACUGGGCUUAAAGGGUGCGUAGGCGGAUUGGUAGGUCAGAUGUGAAAGCCCACGGCUCAACCGUGGAAUUGCGUUUGAAACCACCAGUCUUGAGGAAGUCAGAGGUAUGCGGAACUGAUGGUGGAGCGGUGAAAUGUGUUGAUAUCAUCAGGAACACCGGUGGCGAAAGCGGCAUACUGGGACUUUUCUGACGCUGAGGCACGAAAGCUAGGGGAGCGAACGGGAUUAGAUACCCCGGUAGUCCUAGCUGUAAACGAUCUGUACUAGUCCGUGGAAACUUCCACAUUUUCUCGGACGUAGCGAAAGUGUUAAGUACAGCGCCUGGGGAGUAUGGUCGCAAGGCUGAAACUCAAAGGAAUUGACGGGGCUCCUCACACAAAAAA
rnacentral:rRNA from 1 species